rnacentral:lncRNA from 1 species
UUCUUUCCUUCCUUCCUUCCUUCCUUCCUUCCUUCCUUCCUUCCUUCCUUCCUUCCUUCCUUUCCUUCCUUCCAGCUGUUGGUCCGGCCACUAUUUCUUGAGCACUGUGGUAGGCACAACCUGAGAUGCCCCACGGCAUCACCUGGUAGAUGCCCCUCACAAAAUCCCCUUCGGAGUGUUGAGUGUGUGUCAAGUGUCAGGGGAGCAACUGCACAUGACAGGGUAGUAGGACCCCUGCCAACAGGCUACCAAAGAGCUGGUUCUCAGCUAACCAAUCAGAGGAGACCCGUAGAAGAAGGUAAAACAUCCAAGAGGUUGUCCUGCUGGCCUCAACAGAGCAGAAUGCCACUGGGUGUAGAGGGCACCGACCUGAGAGCGACCCCCGCAGGGCACCGACCUGAGAGCGACCCCCAUCAGCCAACAACAAGCAAGGAAACGGGGGCCUCGAUCCUUCAAGCAGCAUGAAGUGUAUCCUGCCAACAGCAUGCAUGAACACGAAAAGGACCCUGAGUUUCGGGGGAGAUGGCAGCCCAGCCCUGAGCUCACCCAAGAGACACUGAGCAGAGAACUCAGCCACCCUGUGGCCAGGUGCCUGGCCUAUCCAGAGUGGGAGAGAACAAGUGCUGAGUUUGUGGUGACCUGCUAACACGGCAACAGACAUACAGGCACCUAAGUUAGUUCUGGGUUCCACAGACCUAAUUCCACCUGCUUUUUAUUCUUUUCUCAGAGAAGUGUGCCCAAUCUCCUCCCUCCCAUCUGCCCAACCAAUCUCACCCCAUCCACACAAUAGCCAGCUAAAUGUUUUUGAUGAGUCGACAACUCCACACCAAUUCUGUACAAUUCACGCAAAACUUAAGGAAACACUCCAUGCUUUCAGUAACCUGUGGCUUUUACAAAUAAUGAAAACUGCUUCAUACCUCUAUGUUCGAUAUGAUGAUAGAGCACAAGCCCUUAACUCUUAGAAAUAAGGACACAGGCUCAGAGUUUAAAGACCAAUUUUUAAUUCACAGACUUUAGUUUUUACACAUAUCAAAAAUACACAUUUAUACUUAACAUAAUGUUACAAAUCUUAACCUAUAUACAUGCUUAACAUUCUGGUAUUCUAUUUUCUCUUUCAUUUAAAAAUUGAUGGCAAGUCCUAUUUCCUGAGUCUUUAUUAUUCUUCCACAGUUACCACUUCCAUAUCUGGAUGCAUUAGGGUCAAGCCCCCAGAAAAUAGCUCAAAGGCAAUCAGUUUUGUCUGCUGAGAUGUAUUUUACUUAUGGAUUCCUUCCAUUCUGUUUUUUCCAUAAAUCUCACUUAUUUUUUGUUUGGUAUUGCCUGCCAGUGACUUGUAGCUCAUCCAUAAAAGCAUGCAGCCAGCCAUCCUUCAAAGGUACCCUCUAUCCUUUAAAAAUAGGAUAAAAGCAAACUUUUAGGAUGGUGCUAACAUUAUAGACAUCAUCUUCGGCAUCGCUUUUAGCAUGUACUUCACUUUAUUCUGUCUUCACCAAAAGAUCAGAGGUUAACAUAGCUGUACCUCCUGUUACUCCAGGAGCAGCCUAAGUUCUGAAGCAGCUUGUAACUCAUCAGCUCUGCUCCAUUAUAAAUUCUAUAAGAAAGACAAAUGAAAAAAAAAUAAUAAAUAAAUAAAUAAAUAAAUAAAUAAAUAAAUAAAUAAAUAAAUAAAUAAAAAAAAAAGAAAGACAAAUGCUGGAAUUUCUACUUAAAAUAAGCAAUGGUGAUAUGGUUAACCUGAGGUUGAAAUAGGAUACUGGCCUCACAUACUUUCUGAAAAUCAAUAUAUGAUAAUUACUGUUUCUUCUUGCAUAAAAAA